AUCCAUAUGCUUUCACAAGGUCUUUUCUGUUUUGUAUCGGAGCCAGGAGGGAGGAGCUAGAAAGAAGAUUAUGAUGACGUCACGAUGCCUACCCAUGGGAAACUUGUCUUCACAGGACUGACAUUCAAAUUGUGUUACUUUAGCAGACCUCACAGUUGCAAACUUCCAAAAUGAUCUUCUUUCUGGUCAUAUUACUUAUGGACCUUUCAGGUUAACACAUUGUAAUUAUUGUAGUGUGCUGUUGGUCUUUAUACAUUUUCAAAAUUUAACACUUCUGCCAAAAAUGGAGAAAGAGACAUAACAACAUGUAUAACAUACCUUCUAUUUGCAGUUACAGCCUUGGAGACUAUCCACCACAGUGGUAUCGACACUACCCAAGAUCAGCACCUCAGUUUCUCUUGUCCAUUGGAGCUGAUCAGACAGAAACAUCAAAUGUGGAUCCUCGAUUCUCUGGGAGAAUGAAUAAGGAGAAAAGUCAAAUGUUCCUGGAGCUUACUGCAGCUGAACUCACAGACUCUGCUCUCUACUACUGUGCCCUGAGGCCCACAGUGAAGGAAAUGGGCUAACUGUUGUACAAAAACUCACAUGACAUGGCAUCCAUUACAUUUAUAUUCAUUAUCCAUCAAAUUGAUUAUUUAAUCCCUGUGUUUACUGAACCUCUGCACAAGCCAUUGAGUCAUACCAAAUCAUUGUUAUAUCAAAUAGUAAAACAAUGUUUAUUUUGUCCAAUUGUA